GUGCUCACUUUUGGCAGCACAUAUACUAAAAAAAUUGGAACGAUUCAGAGAAGAUCAGCAUGGUCCCUGUGCAAGGAUGACACGCAAAUUCUUGAAGUGUUCCAUAAAGAA
ensembl:snRNA U6 U6 spliceosomal RNA